rnacentral:lncRNA from 1 species
UUAAGUAGACAUCCAUAAAUAAAUAAAAAUUGUGAUUAAUUCCGCCGUUCAAAUUUAUUGAAAAAACGGGGUUAACAUAUUAGAAUUGCUAAAUUCUUUCAUAAUUGAAGCACAUGAUUUAGCGGUUGAAAGAUUUUAUUGUAAGUAAGGGAUGCAUGUUUGAUGACAAAUCUGUAUUUUUUUAAUAUAAAGCUGCAAUAAAAAGAAAGAUAAAAUGAGAGGGGGAAAAAUUUGGUUUAGGGUUAGCUUAUGUUAGCAAGCUUAUAAUAUAAGAAAUUAUUGGUUUUUAAUUGUUUAAAUUGUGCAAUGAAAAUUGAUGGUGCUUAAUUGUCGUAUGAAAUCUUUCCUAAGAAAGUUGAUGGAGCUUAACACUUUGUGGACAUGAUUUAAAUCACAAUUGGUCUGCUAGUGUAUAUUGUAUCAAUUGAUCAUCGGUUAAUAUUAAAUCUGCAAUGUUAAAAUCAAAAUAAUGAAUGUGAUUAGUGACAUGACCAUGGUUGUGUUUGGUUGUAUUGCAAAAAAAAUUGAUUUAGUAGAAUUGAGNNNNNNNNNNNNNNNNNNNNNNNNUUCGAAUCCUAGUCAAGACAAAAUUGUAUUAUUUUUUAAUAAAAAUUGCAAGAUAAAAUGGAGGGAAAAUAGAGAAAACAAAUUAGGGUUUAGGAUUUGCU